rnacentral:antisense_RNA from 1 species
GUCAGGCAGACCACCUGGACAC